rnacentral:lncRNA from 1 species
AUAUAUAUUAUUAUUGUGAUAUAUAUUUAUUGGCUAUUUAAUGUUAAUACCUAUAACUAGGGCUAUUUUCUAGCAAUUAUAUGAGUAUGUUGUUAUACCAUGCCUAGAUCGCAAAGAAAAAAAACCUAGACCUAGAAACAAGAGGAGAGCCAUUUUUCAUCAUCUUGACCCCAUCCUAAUUCUCUGAAAAAGCUUCAGUACACAAUACACAAAAGGAUUAGCAUCCACACUCCAUCUUCCUCCCAUAUACAGAGAAACGACAUAAAUAAGAGGGAACGAAAAAUGGAGUUGCUUUCCUCUUUUUCUCCCUAAGUACACUCCAUCUUCUUCAACCAAAAAACCUCUAUUAAACCCCCACCAAAAUGCAGCUCCAAAACAGCCUUCUUCCUCAAUGAAAAAUAUCUCAAAACCGGCACCAAAUCCUAGCUGCAACACCUCGAACGGCCAUCGAAACAAGCAGUUUUUCUUCUUCCAAAAACGACCUCAAACAGCCCCGAAAAUGACACAAAAAUAGUAGUUCUACGAGUCUAGUUCGAGGCCGCGUUCGAUCUUCAUUCGUUGGCUUGUAUUUGAGGUUUCCACCGAGUUUUCUGGUUUGUUGACUCGAUCUUCAUAAAUAAAAGAAGCUGAGGCUUUAUUUCUAACUUUCUUCUAUUAUUUAUUCUUUGAUUUCAUAAUUAAUAUGUUUCAGUUAGGUACUAUAAUUUUUUAAAUGUUCCUGUGAACUAUUCUAAUUGUUUGGUAAGUACUUUGCCAUGUUUGGAUGCUUUCUGCGGAGAGGACGAGAGACAGUAGUAAAAAAGUGUUUAGUUUCUAUGCAAAGAUUAUAUAUAUUGUUUGGUGUCUAGUGUUGUCUUAUGAUAGAAUAAUGAUUUAU